UCUUAUGGAUGUACAAAGACAGUGGUUUCUUAAGGUAGAAUCUACUUCAGGUGAAGAUACUAUGAA
rnacentral:pre_miRNA from 1 species